GACGAACGCUGGCGGCGUGCUUAACACAUGCAAGUCGAACGGUGAAGCGCCUUCCUUUUUGGUGGGUGUGGAUGAGUGGCGAACGGGUGAGUAACACGUGAGUAACCUGCCCCCUUCUUCUGGAUAACCGCAUGAAAGUGUGGCUAAUACGGGAUAUUCUGGGUCUGUCGCAUGAUGGGUCUGGGAAAGAUAUUGUUUCGGUGGGGGAUGGGCUCGCGGCCUGUCAGCUUGUUGGUGGGGUGAUGGCCUACCAAGGCGGUGACGGGUAGCCGGCCUGAGAGGGUGGACGGCCACACUGGGAGUGGGGCACGGCCCAGACUGCUACGGGAGGCAGCAGUGGGGAAUAUUGCACAAUGGGCGCAAGCCUGAUGCAGCGACGCCGCGUGAGGGAUGGAGGCCUUCGGGUUGUGAACCUCUUUCGCCAGUGAAGCAGGCCUGCCUCGUUUGUGGGUGGGUUGACGGUAGCUGGAUAAGAAGCGCCGGCUAACUACGUG
rnacentral:rRNA from 1 species